AUUAAGUUCUGCAGCUUCUCUUCUGAUGUACAAUUUCAUGACUAUAAUAGAGAGAUUUCAUUGCCAAAUGCCUGACAUUGUUAUUUAUUUUUCCUUCACUUAUAGGCACUUGCAGAGGAAAGAAAUGAUUGGACUAAGGUAGAUGUGGAAAACAAUGUGUUUGUUCAUAUGGAAAAUUGAGUUUAUUUAUAAACCUCACAGUCGACUUCUGAUUCCAUUUCAAAAGCUUUUGAAAAUAAUUGAACAAAUGUGUUUGCUAAAUUAAAAAAUAAAUUUAAGUGAAUUUCUGUUUAGCCAGAAUGAGUGCGAGUAGGUGGUGAUUAUGUGCAAAUGACUACGGAUUGAGACAGUGCAGUCUUAAUUGCUGGGUGGAAAUGAGUGCUCUAUCCAUGUCAUGGCUCACAUGUCCUUUCUCAGAAUUUCUCUGCCAUAAAUAUCUCCUGCUGGUAGAUCCUGUCAGUUCAAAUGUCUCUCAAAGUCACCCGGAAAAGACUGCAACCACAGCUGAAUACAAGCACUUUUUCAGAAUCAUACUGAAGGUAAUGUUUUCCUUCUUUGCUCUUUACUUUGCCAUGAUUAGACUCCCUAUAGAUAGAACUGAGACA
rnacentral:lncRNA from 1 species